rnacentral:rRNA from 1 species
AACGAACGCUGGCGGCAGGCUUAACGCAUGCAAGUCGAGCGCCCCGCAAGGGGAGCGGCAGACGGGUGAGUAACGCGUGGGAAUCUACCCAUCUCUACGGAAUAACGCAUGGAAACGUGUGCUAAUACCGUAUACGUCCCUCGGGAGAAAGAUUUAUCGGAGAUGGAUGAGCCCGCGUUGGAUUAGCUAGUUGGUGGGGUAAAGGCCUACUAAGGCGACGAUCCAUAGCUGGUCUGAGAGGAUGAUCAGCCACACUGGGACUGAGACACGGCCCAGACUCCUACGGGAGGCAGCAGUGGGGAAUAUUGGACAAUGGGCGCAAGCCUGAUCCAGCCAUGCCGCGUGAGUGAUGAAGGCCCUAGGGUUGUAAAGCUCUUUCACCGGUGAAGAUAAUGACGGUAACCGGAGAAGAAGCCCCGGCUAACUUCGUGCCAGCCGCCGCCGUAACAC